AAAUAUGAUUUCGUUAGUAACAGAUCAAUUGCAUACAAAACAUGAUAAUUUAAAAAUAAAUAAGGAGCAUGAGAUCCAUUUACCUUGUUUGCCCUAGAUCUUCAGACUUCGUUAAAAAAAAUCAUAUUAUCCUAUUUAAAAUAUUAAAUCAUAAUCAAUUUUUUUUCAAUUAAUUAAAUAAUAAUAACAUUAGGCCGUUGACCAGAUGAUUGGUCUGAUAGACUAUCUGAGUAUCAAAGCUAUUCGAGAUUGUCUUGCUUGGGUCAAUUUGGAUCCUUAGAAGAGAAAGGGGGGACUCUAUCUUGAGUGCAUAAGUCUUUUUAGAGAGAGAAAGUGGAGAGAAUCGUCGUAUACCGUAAAAGAGAAAAUUAUGAUCGAGAUCAUCAAGGGUCAUGCUAGGGUAACUUGGUGGGGAUUAAUGGUGAUCAGAUCUAUGAAUAUCUGACGAGGAUCGGGUUGGGAUCCGACAUAUUGCAUGGAUAUCAAAGCAAUUUCGGGCUUCCUUUUUAAAAGAAUUCCUUGGUCCAUAAUAGGGGAGCACGACAACAAAUAUUGGGGUUCAUGGAUCAAAUAGAGAGUGUUAGAGAGCAUAUUUAACAUGUAUCUUUUGACAUAUGUUAUUUCCUAUUAUUUCUUUAUGUUUAUAGUUUAUCUAUUUCUGUCUUAUUCUAAUUAGACUUUUUCUUAUUGUAUUUUUUUAAUAAGGUUUUCUUUCUUUAGAAAAAUUCUAUUUCUGUAUACUCCUAUGUAUAGGAGUACAAAAUCAUGGAAUAUAAUAUAUUAAUUUUCUCUCAUUUUUUGUUUUAUGGUAUCAGAGCUUAGAGUUCUCUAAGUAAGAUCCACCACCAUCUCUUCUCCUAUCACCUUCUCUACUCGUACAUCGGCCUCUCCUCUCUUUUCUCUCCUUUCUUGUUCUUCUUUUUGUGUUGAUCUAGACAGAGGAACUUCCUUUACUAAAUGACUUUAAGGGGGAGGAGUCGCUUCUUUCUCCUUUUCCGUCUACUGGGAUCGGGUCUAUGGCUCGUCGCAUAAAUAUGUUCUGCGGCUUGCCAUCAGUUUAAGUAUCUUCUGUGCCUGCCUAUAUGUGAUGAUUUUGAACUACCGAAUCUACCACAUUGACUGUUUGCCUUCAUACUAAUUUGAUGGUUGAUACUACUCCAAUGAUGCCUUCAACUGUUGGAUCUUUGCCUCCCUCAUAUUUGCAAAGUCUUACCACAAUUAAACUUAAUGGUAAAAACUAUCUUGUAUGGGCUCGAGCAUUCAAGAAGUUUGUUAGUGCAUAUGGCAAGCUCCACAUUUUGAUUGAUGAUCCAAUUCUUUUUAAUGAUGUGAAGUAUAAAGAUUGGCUCACGGAGGAUUCAUGUGUUUACAUUUGGUUGUUGAACAGCAUGGAGUCGGAUGUUAGUGCUAAUGUGGUGUUUCUAAACACUGCUAAAGAAAUUUGAUGCUCUUAAGGAGAUGUAUUCUUAUGGCAAGAAUUUAUCUAGAGUAUUUGAGUUGUCUUAGCAACUAUUUUUCUUAUGCUAUACUGGUGGAUCCUUGGUCAACUUUUAUGCCAAGUUCAAAGGGCUCUGGAACGAGCUCAAUAUCUAUCAGCCAUCAACUACAGAUGUAAGUGUAAUAAAAUAGCAAAGCGAGGAGUUCCAAGUGGUUCAAUUUUUGGUUGCCCUUCCUCCUGAGUAUGCUCUUGUUCGUAAUCAGAUUCUUGAUAGUGACUCCUUGCUUUUCCUAUAUUCUAUUUUUUCUUGUCUUCAAUCAGUUUUGGCUCCACUUUCAAAAUCUAAAACUACUUUUGUUGAGUUUUCGACACUUAUUGCUGGUAGUCAUGGUCGCAAUUCCUCGUCCGACCACAGUCGUGGACGUGGCCAAAGAGAAAACCGUGGUCGUGGGACUAGUUCCAGUGGAUGAAAAUGUACUUACUGUGGCCGCACUAAUCAUGUGGAGGAAAAGUGUUGGGAGAAGCAUGGUAAGUCCGAUUGGGCUAACCAAGUUAUUGCUCCAGAGUUGGGGGGAGCUGAGACUACUGUUGCACCCACUAAAAUCGCUUUUGAUACUUUAAUUAUUUCUCGGACGAACUUGGAGCAAUUGGUCCGCCGGACGAUUCAACUGUCUUCUGCUUCUUCUUCCUCGACUCCUCUCGUAGCAUCCUUUGCCUCAGGUAUCACUGCUCUCUUGUCUGCCACUUGAUUUGCGCCUUCCUCUUGGGUCAUUGAUUUAGGUGCUACAUCGCAUAUGUGAGGAUCUCUUGACGAAAAAGAAGAUUGGUGGGGGCCAUGAAGGUGCUGAUGGCCUGUAUUAUUUGGAUGUACCAAGAUCGAGAGCUUUUCAUUUGUAGCAUGUCCUCAGCAAUCAUACUAUCAGCUUGGGCAUCCAUCUCUUCAAAAACUCACAACACGGAUAGUCCUAGUGGUGCAUCUCAGACAAAGCCUUCUAACUUGGAAAAAGUGGUGCAUCAUAGAUCUUCUACUUUAAAAGACAGAUAUGCAAUUACCUUUGGCUUAUGAUCGUUAUAUGAAUGCUCCGGAAACUAAGGCAGUGCCUCCAAUUAUAGGGGAUUAUAUUGAAUGGUUUAAAUGAAAUCAAAGUAUUGAAGAUGGUGAUUCUUUCUGAAAAGUCAGUCGAAUGCACGGAUCGAUGUUGAGCUUGUAGACUUUAAGGCAACCUGCAUACACCUACAGCUUCUAGAGUUUAAAGAGUCAUUAUUUUUUUUGGGCAUUUGCUUUGCUCUCUAUAAUAGUGUUUAAUGGCUUGAGCUCUUAUGCAGGUGAGGAAGUAGUCUUAUUUCAUAUUGGAUCUUUUCAGAAAGAGAUGGCAAAGGGCUAUCACAUAGGACAAGUGCUGGAUCGACCCAUACCCUGAACCCUCAAAGAACUCAAGUCAAUAGUGCAGAUUUUUGUGUUUUUCCUUUUAGAACUUUCUCAACAUCCUUUGUGAAGUUUAUCUCAAUUCAUACAGUAUGAAGUUAAUCUCAAUUCAUACACUGGUGUUCCAUCCAAUCAGGGAACCACAGGGCACCCGUUAAGUACAUAGAUACUAUCUACAGGCUGGCAUAUAGGGAUUGUUAGUGUCUGAAAUUUUCAGUAGAGCAGACAUCUACAAGUAUGAAGUUCCUGAGAUCUACACCUAGAAGGCUAGAAUACAUAAGCAAAGAAUGUAAUAAUAUUUUUCAUUCUUUUUUAAUAACAGCAAAUAUAUCUUGGAAAGUUGUGGAAUGUUGCUUUGUACAUUCCGUUGUAUUUUUAAAACAUUGUUUAACAUAACUUUGUUUAUGAUGUCUUAAAGUAACUUCAAUUUUGAGCA